GAGUACUCUGAACCCAGGGAAAGAUCCUCAUCCGCCCCUGACGAGGAACUGCUCUGGUCAUCAUUCCGGCUCUUCUUGAACAGUGAAUUUCCAGGGAAGCGCAACUGGUACUUGAAUCCGGGUCCCUGCGUCUGUCAGUCCAACAUCUUAGCCAUUCCACUGAGAGGCUUGAACCUCUUGACAAGAUGGAAAUGUGUAUUAUUAUUAAAGGUUGUUCCAAUA